UAUGACUAACACAGCUUGCUUAGUUCUA
rnacentral:piRNA from 1 species